GGGAAAGCAAGAGGUUGAGCGAUGAAGCUAUGAGGAAGGCUGGUGUUGCCCAUAACAAGUCCAGCAAAGAUAUGGAGAGCCACGUGUUUAUGAAGGCCAAAACAAGGGAGGAGUAUCUUUCUCUUGUGGCCAGGCUUAUUAUCCAUUUUCGAGACAUCCACAAUAAGAAAUCUCAAGCCUCAGUCAGUGAUCCGAUGAAUGCCCUGCAGAAUCUAACUGGGGGUCCCCCAGCAGGGGCGCCUGGAAUGACCAUUGCUUCCCGAGCUCAAGGAGCACCGAUGAGUGGGAUGGCUGGCCUUGGUCCAAUGGGGCAACAGAUGAGUCUCCCAGGACAGCAACAGCCUCCUGGAAGCUCAGGAAUGGCCUCUCAUGGUAUGCCUGGUGUCUCUACAGCUACUCAGCAGACCCAGCUUCAGCUUCAGCAGAUAGCUCAGCAGCAACAGCAGCAGCAGCAACAAUUCCAGCAGCAACAGGUGGCUUUGCAGCAGCAGCAGUUCCAAGCCCAGCAAUCAGCCAUGCAACAACAGUUUCAGGUGCAGCAGCAGCAGGCAGCAGCAGCUGCAGCAGCCCAACAGCAGCAGCAGCAACAGCAACAGUUGCAAGCUGUCCAGCAACAGCAACACAUGUUGAAACUGCAGAUGCAGCAGCAGCAAAACCAACAGCAGAUGCAGCAGCAACAGCAGCAGCAGCAACUACAGCGAAUAGCCCAAAUACAGCAGCUGCAAGCAGCACAGGCUAUGCAGGUACAACAGCAGCAGCAACAGCAGCAGCAACAACAGCAACAAAUACCACAGCAACAGCUACAGCAGCAGCCACCUCAACAAGUAAUGCAACAGCAGAUGCAACAGAUGCAGCAGCAGCAGCAACAGCAACAACAGGUUGCGCAGGCACAACAAUCUCAGCUUCCACCACAAUCCCAGCCUCAACCCCAGCCCAUGGUAUCUCAGGCACAGGCAAUCUCAGGGCAAAUUCCUGGUCAGGUUAUGCCUGUUACUCUUACGCCACAGCAAUUAAAAGCAAUGCAGGUAAGAGCUCAGCUGGUCCAGCAGCAGCAUGCAGCAGCAGCAGCAGUGCAAGCAGCUCAGGCUCAAGCUGCUCAGAUGGGAGCUUCAGCACAGAUGAUCACCGCACCUAUGGCCCGAGGUGGGAUGCAAAUAAGACCACGGUUCCCGCCUACCACCGCAGUGUCUGCUACACCGCCAAGCUCCAUUCCUAUGGGCGGACAGCAAAUGCCACAGGUCAGCCAGAACAGCAUUACCAUGAUGUCAUCCCCAUCUCCUGUCCAGCAAGCUCAAACACCCCAAUCAAUGCCUCCACCACCACAGCCGCAGCCAUCUCCUCAACCAGGCCAACCAAAUUCUCAGCCAAACUCAAAUGUGAGCUCUGGCCCAGCUCCAUCGCCCAGCAGCUUUCUCCCCAGUCCAUCUCCACAACCGUCACAGAGCCCAGCAGCUGCACGAACACCUCAGAACUUUAGUGUCCCAUCCCCAGGUCCUUUAAACACUCCAGGAAAUCCAAACUCUGUCAUGAGUCCUGCCAGUUCUAGCCAGUCAGAGGAGCAACAAUAUCUGGAGAAACUCAAACAGCUGUCAAAAUAUAUUGAGCCACUCCGGAGGAUGAUCAAUAAAAUUGAUAAAAAUGAAGAUAGAAAGAAGGACCUGAGUAAAAUGAAGAGUCUCUUGGAUAUCCUGACUGACCCUUCGAAACGAUGCCCUCUGAAGACACUGCAGAAAUGCGAAAUUGCGUUGGAGAAGCUAAAGAAUGAUAUGGCUGUGCCUACUCCACCACCUCCCCCAGUGCCUCCCACCAAACAGCAGUACUUGUGUCAGCCACUUUUGGAUGCUGUCUUGGCCAACAUCCGCUCACCAGUCUUCAACCAUUCCCUUUACCGCACCUUUAUGCCAGCUAUGACUGCAAUUCAUGGUCCACCAAUCACGGCCCCAGUUAUCUCCUCUCGAAAACGAAAAUAUGAAGAGGAUGACAGACAGACUAUACCAAAUGUAUUACAAGGUGAAGUCGCAAGAUUAAAUCCUAAGUUCCUGGUGAAUCUGGACCCCUCCCACUGCAGUAAUAAUGGCACAGUUCAUCUCAUAUGCAAGCUAGAUGACAAGAAUCUUCCAAAUGUCCCACCACUACAGCUCAGCGUUCCAGCAGACUAUCCAGAUCAGAGCCCCUUGUGGAUAAAAAACCCUAGACAGUAUGCAGCCAAUCCCUUCUUGCAGUCAGUGUAUCAAUACAUGACUUCAAAACUAUUGCAGCUUCCAGACAAGCAUUCAGUCACGGCACUCUUAAACACCUGGGCACAAAGUAUUCGUCAAGCCUGCCUCUCUGCUGCGUAACAUCUCACUUUCUAAAUCAUGAAGCAAGAAAUAAAGACUCAACAGCUGGCCUUUUCCACAUACCAUUGCAAAAGUCAUGGGCAUUUUGGCAAGGUUGCUUCAGAAGAAAGAAGCCUUACGGUUUUCUUGUUUCUAGAUGUCAGGUUCAGUAAGAGGACCUGGUGUUAGUUCUAGAUUUCAUGCUUUUUAUCUUCUGCCUCUGUGGACUUUUGUCAGCAUUUUCAAAUAUGCAGAAUGUGUAUAUAUGGUUCUCGAGACUGUAUUAGGAGUUUUUAUUGUCUUCUUAGAGAAGAAAUUAUUUGUGGACUUCCAUCAGGGAGUCUCAUUGGUAAAAGAGGAAGCAGGGAGAGAACGCCCUAAUUUGCUUCAAAGUUUGCUGAGUGCCAGUAUUCCUUUCACACUGUAUGUUUUGUGACCUGAUACUCCCCAGAAAUAAAAAACUGCAAAUAGAACGUGCUUGCAAACUUCCUAGUGUUUGCAGGAAUCUUUUGCCUAUUAGCCUUGCCCGGGGUUGGGAUAAAUUACAGUUUUUAAGGGCAUUCCUUAAAUGUGUGAGAUAAAUCAGGGUAAUUGUAUUGGUGGGGGGAAUGACUAAACAGAAGAAAAAUAUUUUAUAGCUUAUUUUAAAUGCUACUUUGUAUAAAUGGGUUCUGGUUAGCAUGGACCACAGUUUUCUUGCUCCAGAAUUGUGGCAGUUUGAAAGAGGAGAUACUAACGUGCACACUGACUUCCCAUAUAAAUAAAUACGUGUGUGUAAAGGUGGCGGUGAAACAACAGUUUAAAGCUCUGGUACCACAGAUCAAUCCAGCAGGCUUGUAGCCGUAUCUUCUUUACUAAUGGAAUGGAGUCAGUCUGAGGCAUCUGACUUGCUUGGAAGAGUUGAUGCAGUUUAGUGGCCACAUGGUGAGUUUUGUCCUGUUUUGUUUUGCUUCCUUUUCUCUUAAAAAGGACAAAAAGAAGUAAAAAACCAACAAAAAAACACACCACAUAGAUCAGUAGCAGAACUGACAACUAAUAUUUUGUGCCUUGAGCAAUAAUGAGCACUCUAGGUGGUUGUCAGCUGCUAUAUUGUCGGGCACUUCCAAUGAAAACACUUGCCAUGAAUAAUUAAUUUAAUUCAUUGUUUUAUUUUUCCCCGUUCUCAUGAUUUGUUUGCUCUUAUUUUCCUAGUGCAGGAAAAAAUGCAGUUUUCAGAUUUGCCAUUUAUAUCCUGCUCUAGCUCCCCGUGUUGUGCAGCAAACCUUAACAAGUCGCUGCGCUCUCUUACAGUAGUGUCAAGAAAUUGCAUUGACCUGUGUGAAUCUGUGUGAUGUCAUCAGUUUUAGUAUCUUUUUCAGUCUGGGUACUUAGUAAACACUGACUGAGGCAGCAGAAUGCUGUCAGUAUUUUGUACAUGAACUAACGCGUUAUGUUUGUUUCUAUUGUAAUAAAUUUAUUACUAUUCCAGUGUCAGAUGCUAACAUUAUACUACUCUUCCCAUGCUGAUCCUCAGAUACCAGUUCUGUUGCAUCCCUUGGAUGAUGAUUACUUUGUUCUAGGGUGAUCUCACAAGGUUAUUCUUCAAGCAGUCCUGCUUCUAAAGGAAGAGUAUUGGAGGACAGAGACGAGUUCAAAUCAUGCAAGAAAGAACUAUUAAUAGGAUUUUUUCAAACUAGAGUGAACUUUGCGGUAAACAACUGAUUCUCUUAUGUAGGUGCAAUUUCUGCUUUUCAGGUACUCACAGUUUUCUUAGAGUAUUCCUGAGAGGUAGUUUUGGCAAGCAUGUAACUCUGUGUUACUGAGUAAAAAUGUUUGUACGUGUAUUUUUUUUGUUACUUUGCUAAAGAAACAAAGCAGUGGUUGUGAUGUAUCCCUAACUUAAUUUGGAGAACAAACUUAAUGAAUGCUGUGUUUGAGGUAUCUGAACAUGUGCAGGUUGGUUUGAAGGACAGAGUCCUACAGAUGCUGUUCUUCAGCAUGGAAUAAGUUGAAUUAUAGGUCUGGGUCACUUACUAAGUUCAUAGAACCCCUUUGAGUUCUGCACCGUGCAGCCAAAUAGCCUGUAUGUCUCUAGUCUAGAUUGUUCUAUAGAUAACAAUGACUUAAUUUGUGUUUUCAGUAUGAUGGCUUAUUCUUCUCGCCCUGAAAAAAAAGUCACAGUCACUCCAAUGUGUAAGAAGGCUUUUAUAAAAAUAAAAUUUACAUUAACUAU